AUGCGUCCCUCGGCGGCGGGCAGGCUCCUCUUGGCCUGCAGCCUUGCUUUCAUGCCCUUCUUCACAGUCUCCUGGGAGAUUAAGAUGAGUGACCUAGAGGAGAAGGAUGUUGAUGAAUUCAGCUCCAGUGGUUUUAAGUGCCCAACAUGCUUUGCAGUGCAAGGAAGGAAAUGUGAUACAGAACUCAAAUGGUGUGCAGCAGGUAAAGUGUAUUGAAGUCUCUGGCAUCAUAAACACAGGUAUUCGUGACGUAGCCGUUGAAAUGAAGAGAUGCAUACAAGCAGACCUAUGCAAAGAGACGAUAACUUCUUAG
rnacentral:sRNA from 1 species